rnacentral:tRNA from 1 species
CGCGGAGUAGAGCAGUGGUAGCUCGCAAGGCUCAUAACCUUGAGGUCGUGUGUUCGAUUCACACCUCCGCAACCA